GUCACUCUCACAGACACACGCACACAGUCACUCUCACAGACACACGCACACAGUCACUCUCACAGACACACGCACACAGUCACUCUCACAGACACAGUCACUCACAGACUCACAGACACAAUCACUCUCACAGACACACAGACAGUCACUCUCACAGACACCCAGACACACACACAGUCACUCUCAGACACACACACACAGUCGCUCUCACAGACACACACAGUCGCUCUCACAGACACACACAGUCGCUCUCACAGACACACAGUCGCUCUCACACACACACAGUCGCUCUCACAGACACACAGUCGCUCUCACAGACACACAGUCGCUCUCAGACACACACAGUCGCUCUCACAGACACACACAGUCGCUCUCACAGACACACACAGUCUCUCUCACACACACACACAGUACUCUCUCACACACACACAGAAGUACUCUCUCACACACACACAGAGGUACUCUCUCACACACACACACAGAGGUACUCUCUCUCACACACACACAGAGGUACUCUCUCACACACACACACAGAGGUACUCUCUCUCACACACACACACAGAGGUACUCUCUCUCACACACACACACAGAGGUACUCUCUCUCUCACACACACACAGAGGUACUCUCUCUCUCACACACACACAGAGGUACUCUCUCUCUCACACACACACAGAGGUACUCUCUCUCUCACACACACACAGAGGUACUCUCUCUCACACACACACACACACACAGAGGUACUCUCUCUCUCACACACACACACACAGAGGUACUCUCUCACGGACACACACAGAGGUAGUCUCACGGACACACACACAGGUACUCUCACGGACACACACAGAGGUACUCUCACAGUCGCGCGUGCACACAGAGACAGACGGACAGUCGCGCACAGACACAGACAGUCGCGCACAGACACAGACAGUCGCGCACAGACACAGACAGUCGCGCACAGACACAGACAGUCGCGCACAGACACAGACAGUCGCACAGACACACAGUCACUCGCACAGACACACACAGUCACUCGCACAGACACACACAGUCACUCGCAGACAGCACACACAGUCACUCGCACAGACACACAGUCACUCGCACAGACACACACAGUCACUCGCACAGACACACAGUCACUCGCACAGACACACACAGUCACUCGCACAGACACACAGUCACUCGCACAGACACACAGUCACUCGCACAGACACACACAGUCACUCGCACAGACACACACAGUCACUCGCACAGACACACACAGUCACUCGCACAGACACACACAGUCACUCGCACAGACACACACAGUCACUCGCACAGACACACACAGUCACUCGCACAGACACACACAGUCACUCUCACACAGUCACUCUCACAGACACACAGUCACUCUCACACAGUCACUCUCACAGACACACACACACACACACACAGAGGUCACUCUCACAGACACACAGUCACUCUCACACACACAGUCACUCUCACAGACACAGACACACAGUCACACACACACACAGAGGUACUCUCACAGACACACACACACACACACACACAGUCACACAGUCACAGACACAGUCACAGUCACUCACACAGGUACACACAGUCACUCACACACACACACAGUCACUCUCACACACACACACAGUCACUCUCACACACACACACAGUCACUCUCACACACACACACAGUCACUCUCACACACACAGUCACUCUCACACACACACACAGUCACUCUCACACACAGUCACUCCCACAGACACACAGACACACAGUCACACAGUCACACACACACACAGAGGUACUCUCACGGACACACACACACACAGUCACUCACAGACACAGACACACAGUCAGUCAGUCAGUCACUCUCUCUCACACAAACGGUCACUCACACACACACACACACACACACACACACACACACACACACACACACACACACACACACACACACACACACACACAGGUACUCUCACAGUCGCGCGUGCACACACACGCAGACAGUCGCGCGUGCACACAGAGACAGACGGACAGUCGCGCGCGCACGCACAGAGACAGACGGACAGUCGCGCGCGCGCACGCACAGAGACAGAAGGACAGGCGCGCGCGCACACAGGCGCGGACAGGCGCGCGGGCGCGGACAGUCGCG
ensembl:lncRNA